UGGCGGUGGGUCUGGAGAUGCGGAUGCCCCCGCAUAGCGCGGCGCCAAUGGCACUCGUGGGAUCCUUCAUCACCCAAGGUAAACCUGUGCUUGACUUCCUUUCUUAUGCUCCUCAUGUUUUGUUGGUUGUUACCUACCAUUAGAUUGGAUGUUUGUUCUCUGGCUGUACAUAGUCAAUUCUGGUGAGCUAUUUUGGACUAAUGAGGUUUGUGGGGUCAAUAAGUAUGGCACAAACUGUGUUGAUCUUCAACGCACGUAUGCUUUCCUAAAUUGGAUUGAUUUGCCGACGUCGAGUUAGUGUGCACCAGCGGGCGUAGCUUCGCCUAUGUCAACUUUCACUGUUCCUCCCCUAAGGUCGUGACCAAGUUAUUCUCCACCGUAAGCAUCCACCACCCCAUCAGCAAUCUCAUUGUAACUAUUUUUCUACACUUCGACAACAAUUAAUAGUAGCGGAUUGGGAUUUUGUUGAUUAUCCGCAUUAGCCGUGUGUGUUCUCUGGUUUGAAUGGAGAAUUUUGUGUUAGGCGAGUAGAGCUUUACCAACUUAAUAACAGAGGAUGGUGCUUGCACUUGUUGUGGGUGUUGAUGGUUCCCAUGUCUUGGUUCCUUGGAAUGGCGAUUCAAGAAACAUCAUCGUGUUGAUUGACCAUAGGGUGAUUGACCAAGCCAAGUGAAUUAAUUCUCACAGUUCAUCAGUAUUGCAAUUUUAUGGUGGGAGCGUCUCCCCAGAAAUCUCUACUCCUAAGGUAACCAGUUUUUUCUCCAUGAAUAUGAUUCUCCAACUUCCUGAUUCAUUAUUUGUAAAAAACACUAAUGAUAUUGUUGGGCCUCUGAACCAUUGUGUUGAUUGCCAUGUUUUGCUUGAAUAUCUCAGAAUGUCCGAAUUCUAGCAUUUGAAAAGUUGAACAACACAAUGUUACUGAAAAUAUGUUGGAUUGCGUGAAGAAUACGGAUAAAUAGUUUUGAAUUAUUUUGUAGCGAGACACAUGCACCUGGUGUUGUCUACCUUAUCCAACACCUAUCGAUAAUGUCAAUAAGAUACAAUAUUGUUAUGGAAAGUCCAUAACAAACUAAUUCCAACAUUAUGUGAUUUGCUGACACAUCUCAUGGUAUCGAUAUUAAUAAAGGUUUUCUGUUAUAAGUUUUACUGUGAGACUAGGCAUCUUUUGUUUUCAAAACAAUAGACUCAUGCAUAGUUAAUUUGACUUGAAUGAAGCAGGUAUUCUCAUUCCAUAUUUUUAUUUGCUUUCAUGCACAAAGGCUACUUGAUCUUGGUAAGCUUCAGGAGAUUGCUGUAAAAUCUGUACGAGUAUGUGAACGUGAGAAAUCAAGCUCUCCCAUAUGAACAUUCCUUGUACCGUUGGAUAUGACCCAGCAAGCAAUAUGAUUACCAUGCGAAUGAAGCGAAAGACAACAUUCCUGACGUUUGUGUUCAUCAAUAUCUCAAACGCAUAAGUAUGUCUUAGUUUGUAACUGAUAAUUAUCAUCGAUCUCUUUAUAUACAUUGUUGAUUACAUUGUAAAUGGACUGAAGUUCAAUUUUUAUAUACAUGUCAAAUUCUGGCAUUGAUCUCUUUAUAUACAUUAUUUAUUAUUUUGACGGGUACUACGGCGAGCUUCCACCUGCUUGAGCUAUAUGCAUUAUCUUUAUAUAUGUAAAAUCAGGAAAGGAAGAAGCCCGUGGCAACGCACGGACGUUCUACUAGUAUAAAAUUAAAGAGGAGUGUUGGG
rnacentral:lncRNA from 1 species